UAGGGAAUCUUCGGCAAUGGGGGGAACCCUGACCGAGCAACGCCGCGUGAGUGAAGAAGGUUUUCGGAUCGUAAAGCUCUGUUGUUAAGGAAGAACGAGUGUGAGAAUGGAAAGUUCAUACUGUGACGGUACUUAACCAGAAAGGGACGGCUAACUACGUGCCAGCAGCCGCGGUAAUACGUAGGUCCCGAGCGUUGUCCGGAUUUAUUGGGCGUAAAGCGAGCGCAGGCGGUUGGAUAAGUCUGAAGUUAAAGGCAGUGGCUCAACCAUAGUAGGCUUUGGAAACUGUUUAACUUGAGUGCAGAAGGGGAGAGUGGAAUUCCAUGUGUAGCGGUGAAAUGCGUAGAUAUAUGGAGGAACACCGGUGGCGAAAGCGGCUAUUUGGUCUGUAACAGACGCUGAGGCUAGAAAGCAUGGGGAGCGAACAGG
rnacentral:rRNA from 1 species